rnacentral:rRNA from 1 species
GCGACCCCAGGAUGGGCGGGGCGACCCG